rnacentral:misc_RNA from 1 species
CUUGGUCAAGAGGAAGUAAAAGUCGUAACAAGGUAACCGUAGGUGAACCUGCGGUUGGAUCAUUAACAAAAAAUUGGAAGGCUUUCACUCUUUUGGGGUGGAAGCCUUUUAAAAACACCAAUUGUGAACUUGUAUUAUUGUUUCUUUUCUGUGGUUUUAUCAUGAGCUUAGUUUUUACGCUGGUUUAUGAUAGCCCAGAAAAAACCUUUAUUAAACAAAGAAUUAUACCAUUUUGACCAUUAAAUAAAAGUUUGAAUUUUUUUAAACAUUAAAUAAAUUAAAAAAACAACUUUUGGCAACGGAUCUCUAGGCUCUU